rnacentral:rRNA from 1 species
AGGUCUUGACAUCCCAGUGACUGCCCUAGAGAUAGGGUUUCCCUUCGGGGCACUGGUGACAGGUGGUGCAUGGUU